rnacentral:piRNA from 1 species
UGCCAUUACAGGGGGGAUGAAGGCCGUU